UACGGAGGGUGCGAGCGUUGUCCGGAAUCACUGGGCGUAAAGGGCGCGUAGGUGGCUACUCAAGCGCGCGGUGAAAGCCCGGGGCUCAACCCCGGGUCGGCCGUGCGAACUACUGGGCUGGAGCACUGUAGAGGCAGGCGGAAUUCCGGGUGUAGCGGUGGAAUGCGUAGAGAUCCGGAAGAACACCGGUGGCGAAGGCGGCGACCUGGGUAGAUACUGACGCUGAGGUGCGAAAGCGUGGGGAGCAAACAGG
rnacentral:rRNA from 1 species